UUUGACCCGUCUUGAAACACGGACCAAGGAGUCUAACAUGUGCGCGAGUCAUUGGGUCUUGCUCAGGCCCAAAGGCGCAAUGAAAGUGAAGGCCGGCUCGGUCGGCUGCGUUGGGAUCCCGCCCUCUACGGCGGGCGCACCAACGGCCCGUCCCAGUCGCUGCGUCGACGGGGCGGAGUGAGAGCGUACACGUUGGGACCCGAAAGAUGGUGAACUAUGCCUGGGCAGGACGAAGCCAGAGGAAACUCUGGUGGAGGUCCGCAGCGAUUCUGACGUGCAAAUCGAUCGUCAGACCUGGGUAUAGGGGCGAAAGACUAAUCGAACCAUCUAGUAGCUGGUUCCUUCCGAA
rnacentral:rRNA from 1 species